rnacentral:lncRNA from 1 species
CCUUCUUCUUUACUUGGACUCUCUCUUCUUAGAUGUAGCAAGUCAUUCUUUGGAGAUUUUUUCAAAGUAUUUUUACUAUUUUAUUUGGAAAUUUUGAGAAGUAGUUAUUUUUUUUGUUAACUUUUCAAAAAGCUCUCAUUCACUCUAAGAAGAAUUAGUAUGUAGAUGGAUUGAGUUUUUGAAAAAUGAUGAGUCAAUUGACUCAUGUUAAUAUGAUUAUUAGCUUUGUU